CCCGCCCUCUGUAUUCCCAGGACUGUCCAGAGGGAAAUGUCCCAGAGAAUCAUCAGGGGGGAGAUCUGACUAAUAAUAAAGUGGAGGAUGAAGAAGAGAGGAUGAGGGGCCAUCACCCGUGUAUGAGGAAAGUGAAGGAGGAAAUUCCAGGAGGUGUUACCCCAGAAAAUCCCAGUAAGAA